rfam:Canis lupus familiaris chromosome 4, whole genome shotgun sequence.
GCCUGGCUGGUUCAGUGGGUAGAGCAUGUGACUCUUGAUCUUGGAGUCAUAAGUUCAAACCCCAUGUUGGGCA